ensembl:snRNA U6 U6 spliceosomal RNA
GUGCUCGCUUCAGCAGCACUUAUACUAAAAUUGGAAUGACACAGACAAGCAGGACCCUUGCACAAAGAUGACAUGCAAAUUUGUGCAGAGUUCUGUAUUUUG